rnacentral:miRNA from 1 species
AAACACCGAACACGUUACACCUUUCAAAUGUUCGAAUGCGUGAACGCAACAAUUGGAAGCCGCACGAAACCAUGGGCUACCUACAAUGAUUACUAAUUGGAU